CAGAGUAUGCGCACAGCGCUUGCCAUCUGAUUCACAACAGAGUCCAUCCACACUGUGCUUAUUGGAGUAACCUAUGUUUCCGAUUCUGGCUUUGCCUUCGGCCCAUCGGUGAAGCCCAUACUUGUUACUUGAAGCCGUAAGUGAUGUUAGUCUGAUAGAGACAAUGGUAGUUACUAAGCAACCAAGAUGCCUCUUCAACUGCGCAAAAGAUAAAAAAUCAGAACAGUCAACGUGACCAUGUAAGGCCAAAAUAGGUAAAAGUGAUUGUAUUUUCUUUGCCUUUUUUGUAAUGUACAGUAUAAAAAGAAA